AAAGCACUCUGCUGGGCCGACACUGACACUGAGAGACGAAAGCUAGGGGAGCGAAUGGGAUUAGAUACCCCAGUAGUC
rnacentral:ncRNA from 1 species